GUGCCAGCAGCCGCGGUAAUACCGGCAGCCCGAGUGAUGGCCGAUCUUAUUGGGCCUAAAGCGUCCGUAGCUGGCUGCGCAAGUCCGUCGGGAAAUCCACUCGCCCAACCAGUGGGCGUCCGGCGGAAACUCCGAGGCUUGGGACCGGAAGGCUCGAAGGGUACGUCCGGGGUAGGAGUGAAAUCCCGUAAUCCCGAACGGACCACCGAUGGCGAAAGCACUUCGAGAAAACGGAUCCGACAGUGAGGGACGAAAGCCAGGGUCUCCAACCGGAUUAGAAACCCGGGUAGUCC
rnacentral:rRNA from 1 species